GUCACGAAUCGAAUAAAAAAGGAAGUUCACUGGUUGUCGAUCAUGUCGUUUAACCGGUAGUGUUGGUUCGAAUCCAACUCGUGACA
rnacentral:tRNA from 1 species